rnacentral:rRNA from 1 species
UACGAAGGGGGCUAGCGUUGCUCGGAAUCACUGGGCGUAAGGGGCACGUAGGCGGCUUCUUAAGUCAGGGGUGAAAUCCUGGAGCUCAACUCCAGAACUGCCUUUGAUACUGAGGAGCUUGAGUCCGGGAGAGGUGAGUGGAACUGCGAGUGUAGAGGUGAAAUUCGUAGAUAUUCGCAAGAACACCAGUGGCGAAGGCGGCUCACUGGCCCGGUACUGACGCUGAGGUGCGAAAGCGUGGGGAGCAAACAGG